UGAGUGCUGAUAAUUUCAAGAGCAAAGCUCACAAUCUCCUUGUUUGGCCCGGGGUGAAGGCUGAGCUCCGGAGAGGUGUCAGAGUACAGCAGCAGUGGAGGAAUGCACCACGCAAAGGGCAUGGGAAGCUGGCCCCGCUGCUUCCCUUCUUCUCAAUUCCAGAGCAAAGGAACCAACUGCAGAGUGGGUCAUUUUCUUAAACUUUCUGCCUGUCCGCUCUUCUCAUUCUCACCAGCACCAGACAAGUGGUACCCAGGAGAGAGCUGAAGUCAGAGUUUCAGAGAAGGCUGGGCUGCAGACCAUAUAAAUAUUGCAUCAGCUCAAUUCAGUAAGAGGCUGCUGAGCUGAAUCACAUCACCAGUAAUGCAAAAAGUACCACACCACAUCAAAUCAGGUGUUGUGGUUUUGCAAGCAAACACAUCAGCCAACAAACAUCAGGGACUGUGCACAGCUGGGCUCACCCAGCCUGCUCAGCUCAGUGCCUUGGUGCAGCAUGGAGCAGUGCUGGAUGGAGCUUGGAGCCUCUGGCUGACCAUAGUGCUCAGGAAUUACUGCAGACAGCAAAAGCUGUGGUGCUCAAUCCACAUCUUCCUUAUGUCACUGCAGUACCAAACAACCCCACUGGUUUCAGCAAGGUCACACUUAUUUUCUCCCCGUGUGGUGUCCAUCAGAGCUCUGUUGGUCACUAAUUCCAAGUGCCACACUCACUCUGCAUGUGCAUGUGGGCUUCUUAGAAGAGCCAAUUAUUUAUCUGUUUCUGCUGAAAUACUGAAAGUAUCUGGUAUAAGGUAGGCACUAAGAAACUUCCAAACUGAAGUUAAAAUUGGUCUUAGUUAUGACAAAUUCAAGUAGAAGAGUUGUAAUUAUUUGCUAGGUUCAGCUAUGGGAGUCACUGUGCAUACAUACCUGGAUGUCAAAGAAAAUGAUGCUUUCCUGCAUAUUGGCCUUGCUCCUGCAAAAAUGCUCCUCAGAAGCUCUGGGCAGAGGAUAGGAAUGAGGAACAGCACUUAAUGCCAUUAUGAAGACUAUCUGCCUGUGGGAUUAGUGCAGUGCAAACCCAGAGAGAAGCUCAGGUUUGUUUUGUGGGUCUUCUACAGCACAGAGGUAAGCCUUAGGAAUGCAGGAACUGAGGUGUCAGUGUGAUAGCAUCACUCUGAGUCAGCAUAAAGAACUACGUAAUUAAUUGUUUGAAACAUUCUUGGUUGUGCCUGGUGGUUUUUCCUGUCAAGGUAUUUCUGCUUGAAUAUCAGCAGCUAUGCUGAAAUGUAAAGGAGAUGAUACGUUUGGCAUCCACAUUUGCCUGUUAGAAGAGAUGCUACCUUGAUGCAAUUGCUUCACAAAGUAACACUAAUUUUGUUUUUACAUCUUGCUUACAGAAUAAAGGCUCACUCUAAUUUGUGUGUUCUACAAAGGCAUGAAGCCUAAUGCUGUAAUCCUCAUUGCGUUUGACACGGUCCAUUAGGAUAAACAGCAGAACUUACAUACUGCAAGUGCAGUGAACAACCCCAAAUGCAUCUCACUCAUCUCUGGGUUUUAAAAUUCUACUUAGUUUUUGGAAUAUGAACAGAAAAAAAAAAAAAAGAAAAGAAAAAAAAAAGGACAGAAUAGAGGGGAAAUGGAAAGGAAUAUGUACAUUGUGCGACAUCUUUAGUAUUCCAGGGUGAGAAAGCAGCAAGCAGAGAGUUUACCAUGUGCCCUUUCAUUCGAAA
ensembl:lncRNA